rnacentral:rRNA from 1 species
GACGAAGGGGGCUAGCGUUGUUCGGAAUUACUGGGCGUAAAGCGCGUGUAGGCGGUUGUUCAAGUCAGGUGUGAAAGCCUUGAGCUCAACUCAAGAAAUGCACUUGAUACUGGAUGACUAGAGGACCGGAGAGGAUAGUGGAAUUCCCAGUGUAGUGGUGAAAUACGUAGAGAUCGGGAGGAACACCAGUGGCGAAGGCGGCUACCUGGACCAGCACUGACACUGAGGCACGAAAGCGUGGGGAGCAAACAGG